AUGACCGCUAGCGAUAGCUUUACCCCAUGCAAAGUCGAGGGCAUCACGAAUUAGCAAUAGUUUGGUGGCGACCGGCGCACGGGUGCGUAACACGUAUACAACCUACCUUCAAUUGGGGAAUAACCUGGAGAAAUUUGGACUAAUACCCCAUAGUAAGCAGAGGAGGCAUCUUUUUUGUUUUAAAGAUUUAUUGAUUGGAGAUGGGUAUGCGUAGGAUUAGCUAGUUGGUAAGGUAACGGCUUACCAAGGCAACGAUCCUUAGGGGUUCUGAGAGGAAGGUCCCCCACACUGGUACUGAGACACGGACCAGACUCCUACGGGAGGCAGCAGUGAGGAAUAUUGGUCAAUGGUCGAGAGACUGAACCAGCCAAGUCGCGUGAAGGAAGACGGCUCUAUGAGUUGUAAACUUCUUUUGUACAGGAGUAAAGUGAGACACGUGUGUUUUAUUGCAAGUACUGUACGAAUAAGCA
rnacentral:rRNA from 1 species